UGGGGAAUCUUGCGCAAUGCGCGAAAGCGUGACGCAGCAACGCCGCGUGAGGGAAGAAGGCCUUCGGGUUGUAAACCUCUUUCAGGAGGGACGAAGGUUCAGGCGCGAAUAGCGUCCUGGACUGACGGUACCUCCAGAAGAAGCCCCGGCUAACUACGUGCCAGCAGCCGCGGUAAUACGUAGGGGGCUAGCGUUGUCCGGAAUCAUUGGGCGUAAAGCGCGCGUAGGCGGCCCGGUAAGUCCGCUGUGAAAGUCAAAGGCUCAACCUUUGAAUGUCAGCGGAUACUGCCGGGCUAGAGUCCGGAAGAGGCGAGUGGAAUUCCUGGUGUAGCGGUGGAAUGCGCAGAUAUCAGGAGGAACACCAACGGCGAAGGCAGCUCGCUGGGACGGUACUGACGCUGAGGCGCGAAAGCGUGGGGAGCGAACAGGAUUAGAUACCCUGGUAGUCCACGCCGUAAACGAUGGGCACUAGGUGUGGGAGGUGUCGACUCCUCCCGUGCCGGCGCUAACGCAUUAA
rnacentral:rRNA from 1 species